UACGAAGGGGGCUAGCGUUGUUCGGAAAUACUGGGCGUAAAGCGCACGUAGGCGGACAUUUAAGUCAGGGGUGAAAUCCCAGAGCUCAACUCUGGAACUGCCUUUGAUACUGGGUGUCUUGAGUAUGGAAGAGGUGAGUGGAAUUCCGAGUGUAGAGGUGAAAUUCGUAGAUAUUCGGAGGAACACCAGUGGCGAAGGCGGCUCACUGGCCCGGUACUGACGCUGAGGUGCGAAAGCGUGGGGAGCAAACAGG
rnacentral:rRNA from 1 species